rnacentral:rRNA from 1 species
CAGGACGAACGGCUGGCGGCGUGCCUAAUACAUGCAAGUCGAACGGUCUUUCUAUGGAAGCUUGCUCCACUGAGAAGAUAGUGGCGAACGGGUGAGUAACACGUGGGGUAACCUGCCCAUAAGAGGGGGAUAACAUCCGGAAACGGGUGCUAAUACCGCAUAGUUUCUUGAUUGCAUGAUUGAGAAAGGAAAGACGGCCUUUGUGCUGUCGCUUAUGGAUGGACCCGCGGCGUAUUAGUUAGUUGGUGAGGUAACGGCUCACCAAGACGAUGAUACGUAGCCGACCUGAGAGGGUGAUCGGCCACAUUGGGACUGAGACACGGCCCAAACUCCUACGGGAGGCAGCAGUAGGGAAUCUUCCGCAAUGGACGAAAGUCUGACGGAGCAACGCCGCGUGAGUGAAGAAAGGUUUUCGGAUCGUAAAACUCUGUUGUCAGAGAAGAACAAGUUGGAGAGUAACUGCUCCAGCCUUGACGGUAUCUGACCAGAAAGCCACGGCUAACUACGUGCCAGCCGCAGC